GUGGCGGCUCGGCCAUGGUGAUUCUGAUAUAUCUUAUCUAUCGAUCUACACACUUCCACGUUUCACGAUUUUUUGUGAAGAAAUUUUAGGGUCUGGAGGAAGGAGAACGCAAGUGUCGAAUCAGGGAACGAAGAGUCGCUCAAAUGGGAUUAGAGGUUUAUGCGAGGUUUUCCAUGACGAUAACAUCCAGAACUGGAAGAGUGUUGUAGGAAUUCACUUUGGCCGCAAAUAGGGUGUUUAGCCCCUCUCUAAGCUUUUGGUUUUGACAAAUGGGUUCUGUUUUGAAUCGGUAACAACGAACGCAGAACAUGAGAGGAAUAUCGAGCCAAAUGUGAGUCACCAACAUGAGAGCUUAGGGUGUGAAAACUACAAUGAGUUUAUCCAGUGAGGGAAAUGCAUAUCUACAAGUAAUGAGCAAGGGAGAUAUUGUCAGUCGAAAAGAAGAAAACGUUGAUGCCAAGCAUUCUAAAAGUCCAGAGGAAGCUGUUAACGUCAACGGUACAGGAGAGGAGAUACGAAUGAUACAUUGGAAAAAUUAGUUGAACCUGUUGUUGAAAUCUGUUCAUGGUGAUAAAGCAUAUUCAAUCGCGCAUCAGGUGCAAAAUUCAGCUGAUUUUGAGUCCUGAUCCUGAAUUUGUAGAUAGCCUGGCUAGGAGUUAGUGAAUUGGUUUGAAGACGCCUCUAAUCACCAUUCGAUUUGAUGUAUUCAAAAACCCUAAAUCCGAUCCAAAAUUAGAGACGGCCCUAAUCUCCGAUCAUGUAGCGCUUUCAUUCCAAGUGUUUACGAACAUAAUGUAGCCGAUACUGUGAUAUCAUGUGUUUGCGGGGUUGCAAUAAAGUUUAUAUCCA